rnacentral:rRNA from 1 species
AUUGAACGCUGGCGGCAGGCUUAACACAUGCAAGUCGAGCGGGGUGAUGGUGCUUGCACUAUCACUUAGCGGCGGACGGGUGAGUAAUGCUUAGGAAUCUGCCUAUUAGUGGGGGACAACAUCUCGGAAGGGAUGCUAAUACCGCAUACGUCCUACGGGAGAAAGCAGGGGAUCACUUGUGACCUUGCGCUAAUAGAUGAGCCUAAGUCGGAUUAGCUAGUUGGUGGGGUAAAGGCCUACCAAGGCGACGAUCUGUAGCGGGUCUGAGAGGAUGAUCCGCCACACUGGGACUGAGAGACGGCCCAGACGCCUACGGGGGGCAGCAGUGGGGAAUAUUGGACAAUGGGGGGAACCCUGAUCCAGCCAUGCCGCGUGUGUGAAGAAGGCCUUAUGGUUGUAAAGCACUUUAAGCGAGGAGGAGGCUCUUUUGGUUAAUACCCAGAAUGAGUGGACGUUACUCGCCGAAUAAGCACCGGCUAACUCUGUGCCAGCCGCCGCCGUAA